GAAAUAUGUUAUUCAAGAAAAAGCUUCUAACUUUUAACUUUAGUGGUGAAAUUCCAUUAAUAUUUCU
rnacentral:tRNA from 1 species